UGCUGGCCAUGCGUGCCAUCUGUGGCAAAGUCUUCUGUUGCCACUGCAGAAUGAAGCUAGCACACAUGGUAUUGGCCAUCAGCCAAAACUGAUUGUUCCAAGGCCCUGGGGCCACCAGCCAAGGUUCUACCACCUACUGGGUCUCUGGCUUUGGCUAGGGGCCUAUGCUGCCCUGCUGGAUAUGUGGAAUAGCACUUGACUGCUGGGCAUGGAUGAGGUUAAGGGUGAGAAGCAUAAUGCCAUGUGUUCUAUACCAUUAUGCGUCUCUUCCUGCCUCUGGGUCCUUAUGAUGAACCUUCGUCAAGGUCAACACCGUACCCCAUCACUGUCAGGCCACUGAGAUUUGUCUAGGUUGCUAUUGGCCCCACUUGGCUUCCCAGUCAAUGAGGACCUCAAGAACUGCCUGUGGACCAAGGCCCCCUGCCAGUGCAUGAGACACACACCUACCUUCCCCAGCCUUCUAGGAACCCUACUGCUUGCCAGACUGAUGGGCGGGUAUGUGACAUGUGCUCACUGUCAUCGUGCUGCGGCUCCAGGUGUGGCCUUGCGUAUGUGGAAGAUUGAUGCUAUAUGCUGCUUAUUUUUGCCAUAAGUAAAAUCUUACCACUAAUGGGAAUAUGUAGCAGAGUAGGUCUGCUUUUUUUUUUUUUUUUUUUUUAAUGUUUUUCUCUUUAUUGUGGACAUUUUCAGACAUGCACAGAAGUGGAGAGGAUGGUCCCUGGACCCUGAGUACCCAUCACCUAGCUACAUCAAUUAUGAUCAACCUGGUAUCUUCCUCUCCCCACCUAUAUUGUUGAUGGAAAGUCCAACACUGUGCCAAUUUAAACUUGACUACUUUGGGAGAUCAGGACUCUCUUUUGGUGGUGAUAGUGGUGGGGUGCACUAUCAUGAUCACAUCAGGUCUGCUUUUUGCUUUGAAUGUUAACUGAUGAAGUUCUAGAAAUGGGCCUUAGAAGUGAAAGUCUUCAAGAUUAACAGGGAGUACUCAAAAAGAGAUGAAAAUGUGCUCUCUUUCCCCUGCAUCACAACAGGAGAGAGACUGUUGUGUUGUAAAUCUUUCAAAGACUGAUAUAAGGUGCUUACUUGAGACCCUUCACCAGAAUAUCAGUCUUUUUUGCCUGUAAAAGAUGGAGACUUGUGUGACUGUUAGAAAUACCAUCAGCUUGUCCUGGUCUCGUGAUAUAACUGUGGUCUUGAAAGUAUAAUUUGGUAAUUGUUGCUGUGUUCUGUAAAAAUAAUCUCCCAAAAGUAAUCAGUAACUGGUUGUCUUACUUGCUAAUUUGACAUCCUGGUAAUAAUGCAAUUAUUCCUUUGUUCCUAAGUAUAAAUAGUUGUAAGCCUGCAUGCAUUAUGGAAAAAUAAAAAUCUGUAUCUCUGUUAUAUUUUUUAUUUUUAAAAAAGAAUUGGAAGGUUAAGCUGAAGCUGGGUAGUUGAGGGGAUGUGUACAUUGGCCUCGAGUGAUUCCUAGGUCUCAGGCCCUUGUGUGACUAGCUAUAUCACAAUACACAAAAUUCAGAUUCCCAAGCCCUUAGCAGAUAAUGACAUUCUGUGGUUCUGGGAGGAAGCCAGGGAGUUCUUGUUCUUAACAAGUUUUCCAGGUGAUUGUAGUGUAAAUCCAGUGCUUCUCAAAUUUUAGAGUACAUCUGAAUUG
rnacentral:lncRNA from 1 species